GUACUGGCAACGACCCUAAACAUGUUACCAGGUCUUAUCCAUUCCCCGUUAAUUUGCACCACCCCCAAACACUACAUUCGCUUUGGCUCACCCUUUAUCCCUGAGAGACGUCGAAGGCCCCUUCUGCCUGAUGGCACAUUCAGCUCCUGUAAGAAGCGCUGGAUAAAACAAGCCUUAGAAGAAGGGAUGACUCAAACAUCAUCUGUACCCCAAGAGACUAGAACUCAGCACCUAUACCAAAGCAAUGAGAAUAGUAGCUCUUCUAGUAUCUGCAAAGACAAUGCAGACUUGUUGAGCCCAUUAAAGAAAUGGAAGUCUCGCUAUCUGAUGGAGCAGAAUGUCACCAAGUUACUUCGGCCUCUGUCUCCAGUCACACCACCCCCUCCCAAUUCAGGCUCAAAGAGUCCCCAGCUGGCCACACCUGGCUCAUCUCACCCAGGAGAAGAGGAGUGUCGAAAUGGAUACAGCCUCAUGUUUUCACCAGUCACAUCUCUUACUACUGCUAGUCGCUGCAACACUCCUCUGCAGUUUGAGGUGAUUUGGGUUUGGUUGCUGGGAGUGCUGGAUAUGAAAAUCAUCAUUUGUACCUUCUCAUUUCAAAUAUAAUACCAUUCCAAAUGUUUCUUUACUGUCUUUCUUCCCCAUCUCAGUAAGAGAAUGGGAAACCUCAGG
rnacentral:sRNA from 1 species